rnacentral:misc_RNA from 1 species
UCAAAACAGCGGACUUCGGUCCUUGCUGCACCCUUGUCUUUUGCGCACCGUAUUGUUUCCUCGGCGGGCUUGCCUGCCGGUUGGACAUUAUCAAAACCUUUUGUAGUUGCAAUCAGCGUCAGAAAACAAUAAUUAUUA